UACGGAGGGUGCAAGCGUUAAUCGGAAUUACUGGGCGUAAAGCGUGCGCAGGCGGUUUGUUAAGUCCGUUGUGAAAGCCCCGAGCUCAACUUGGGAAUUGCAGUGGAUACUGGCAGGCUGGAGUACGGUAGAGGAAGGUGGAAUUCCCGGUGUAGCAGUGAAAUGCGUAGAUAUCGGGAGGAACACCAGUGGCGAAGGCGGCUCACUGGCUCGUAACUGACGCUCAGGCGCGACAGCGUGGGGAUCAAACAGG
rnacentral:rRNA from 1 species